AUCUCUCUAGCUCUUUCCCUCUCUCUCAGGCUCUCUUGUUGUGCAGUGAUGCGGUGAAUAGACCCUUGGCUUGGCUCCAGAUUCUGCCGCUUAAUCGACACAAGAGAGAGAGGCCAGCAGGAUGAUGUGCUGCAUUAUUAAAAAAGCUGUUUUACCCGAGGGAAUGAUGGAAAGAAGCAGAGCAGGACAGAAAACAGAACGUGAAAAUACCUACACAAAAGGAACAGUCAUGACUGGAGAAUCUAUUAGAAUGCAGGUAAACAAGGAACAAAUGCACCAGUGAAUGGUGACUUACUGAAUGUACAAAGGAAGGAAACACAGGAUGUCAAAACAAGUGAAAUUGGGAAAAGUGUUCAGUAUCCAUGCAGACUAAACAAGUGGCUGCCAGCCCAUGAAAAGAGAAUUACCAAGAACCAAUAACAGCAACUUGAAUGGCAGAGUGGUGCAGCUGGAGAGGGGGAAGGGAGGGAUGCAGAAAAUGAGAUCAGGAUGAAAAAGAAAGACUGUUGGAAACCAAGACUGACUACUGAACAGUGGCCAGUGCAGAACUUCACACUUCCAGCUCUAGGACAUGAAACACAAAUCCAAGCCCACACACGUCUGGUUUACCUGCCUCUAUGCAAAGAAAGGUACAAUUAAUUAUAGUAUGCAUGUACUUGCUUGCAUUCUCUUCAGUUUCUUGGCAAAUAAACGCUGAGCAUGAAUCA